rnacentral:rRNA from 1 species
CACGGAGGAUGCGAGCGUCAUCCGGAUUUAUUGGGUUUAAAGGGUGCGUAGGCGGGCUGUUAAGUCAGCGGUCAAAUGUCGGGGCUCAACCCCGGCCUGCCGUUGAAACUGGCGGCCUCGAGUGGGCGAGAAGUAUGCGGAAUGCGUGGUGUAGCGGUGAAAUGCAUAGAUAUCACGCAGAACUCCGAUUGCGAGGGCAGCAUACCGGUGCACAACUGACGCUCAGGCACGAAAGCGUGGGUAUCGAACAGG